AAGAUAGUUUUCAGGUUACCUGAGUCACUCAGGUGACCUAUUGCUAUGCCUUUUUGUCUGUUGGUUGUCGUUCAUCUGUCGCAAACUUAUGAGUAUUUUAGGUUAUUCUCAUAAAAUACGAGGCCAGUCUUAACCAAGUUUGGUGAAGGAUCUGUAGAUGAGGGGGAAACAAAAAUUGAAAAAUUAAUGAUUCUUAACAUCAUGGCCAUAAAUAAUGGGAAGAACUGGGAAAAUUGAUUCAGAUUUUCAAAAUUCUCUUCUUUAUUUCUUGGCAUAUAGCAGACUAAAUAAGAUGUUGAGUUAGUAAAAAUCUGUACAAAUCUUGUAAAAUGCAUGGCCCAAGGGGCUGGGGUUUGGUGGGGCCACAAUGCGGGGUCAAAUUUUUGCCAAGGAAUAUUUUGAGAAAAUCUUAAAAAAUCUUCUCAAAAACCAUUUGCCCAAAAAGCUUAAACUUGUUUGUAAGCAUUAUCAGGUAGUGUAGAUUCAAGUUUGUUCAAAUCAUGACCCCCGUUGUAUGAUGGGGCCACAUAUGGGGUGGGGGCGGGGGUAAAUUUUUGAUAUAGAGAAAAAUCUUCUGGAAAAGCAUUCAGUCCAAAAGCAGAAAAAUGUGUGAAAGCACAGGUUUUGCAGAUUAAAGUUUUAUCAAAUCAUGAUUUCCUAGAGAAAAGUGGGGCCACAAAGUGGGAGGAGGGGGUGAUUUUUAUAUAGGAAUAGAGAAAAACUUUCUUACAAAUGCUAAAACAACAAAAGGUGAUGGGUAUUUACCAUAAAAGUAUGUAGAUAAAAAUCGGCAGAAUUUUUUAAAAACUUUUUGAGAUCUACUGUACUUAGUUGUCAAGAUAUUUUGAUUUUGAUACUGUUAUGUUGAUUGAAUCAGAGUUAUGGCUAUUGUUGCUCAGGUGAGUGAUGUGCCUCCUGGGCCUCUUGUUUAAAAUGGCUUUAUUAUACUCAGGUGACCGUUAAAGCCCACGCGCCUCUUGUUUUAAUGGCAAAUGAUAUAUAUUUUUUUUACUUUUGAACUGUUUAUACUUUUGUAGUUACAACUGUUUAUUAUACGAUAUACAGAAUGUAUAUUAAAUUUUAACAUCAAC
rnacentral:sRNA from 1 species